UAUGGUGUUGAUUGACAGACAGACAGACAGACAGACAGUUUACUAAAGUCUAACCUUGUUACAUUACAUAAUUAAAAUUUUACAUAUACAUAAGACGU